GAUGCAGAUUAGGUGUUUCGAGUAUCGACCCUCGGAGUGCCGUAGCUAACGCGUUAAAUCUGCCACCUGGGAAGUACGGCCGCAAGGCUAAAACUCAAAGGAAUAGACGGGGACUCGCACAAGCGGUGGAACAUGAGGUUCAAUUCGACGGUAAACGAAAAACCUUACCAGGGUUUGAAAUGCACUUGAAGACCAGCAGAAACGUUGGUCGUCUCUCAAGGACAAGUGCACAGGUGCUGCAUGGUUGUCGUCAGCUCGUGCUUUGAAGUGUUCCCUUAAGUGGGUUAACGAGCGCAACCCCUGUCCUGUGUUUUAUAUGUCACAGGAGACCGCCGUGUUUAACACGGAGGAAGGCAGGGAUGACGUCAAAUCCGCAUGGCCCUCUGAUACCCUGGGCUACACUCGUGUUACAAUGGCCGAUACAAUGGGCAGCCAACCCGCAAGGGGGAGCAAAUCCUAUCAAAAUCGGCCCCAGUUCAGAUUGGAGGCUGCAACUCGCCUCCAUGAAGCCGGAAUCGCUAGUAAUCGUGGGUCAGCUAUACCACGGUGAAUACGUUCUCGAGUCCUGUACUCACCGCCCGUCAAGUCAAGGAAGUCGGUAAUACCCGAACCCCGACGUUCGUCGGAGCAAGGUAGGAUCGAUAACAGGGGCUAAGUCGUAACAAGGCACGCGUAGCGGAAGCUGUGCGUGGAUCAAUUAAACU
rnacentral:rRNA from 1 species